ACAAACAAGGGCCAAUUUUUGUCGUUUUAUUUAAAAUAAUUGACUGGUUUUAUAAAUCCGUUUUAUUAGCUGUGAAAGAAUGCUUGCGGGACUCUUCUAUUACAGAGCAGAAAAGACAGGUUGUCAAAAAUGGAAUAGUCUUUAAUGCGGCAUAGGUGAUGUUUUCUAUAAACGAAACACGAUGAUGGCCUGAACGAAGUGGCGAAAGAGAAAGAGAUAGGGACUGACCGGCCACAACCGAGUCGACGUGUGCUCAAUCAGCAAUAUGCGUUUACCAACUGAGCACUUAACCCAAUUACCAUAAAAAGUACGGUCAUCACACUGCAAUGAGAUUUAAGUCUCCGAACACGGUCCAAACCAAAUUUAAAUCAAAAAUUUUUCUUCAAGUUGAUAGCCGCCAUUUCGAUAUCGUUAGUUUAGCGAGCCAAGAUUCUACCCUACAUACUUAUUUAGUACAUAGCAUUUUUAACACAGGGACACCAUGAGCGAGAAUCUUCGAAAAUACAAACUGGAAAAAUCUCGCGGCCUUUCUAUUGUGCGCUCCUUCAUUCUCAUUACAUAAAUGGACCCAAUAGCAAAAUAAUAUUCCAUUUUAGCCUUUUCAAUAUAAAGUAGACCCUAAAUGACAUAGCGAUUUAUAUUAACGCUAUCUGGAUCCAUUGCAAUGGAAAUUUGUUGGUAAUCUUCGUGCUGCCGAGAAUAUAUUAAAAUUCAUGUCACUAUCUAAUUUGUGCCCGAUUUCGAUCAAAUUGCAUGAUAAGUUCAGUUCUCAUGGGGAUGUAAUUAAUGCCAGGUUUUUUAAACAUGUGCCAAAAGAGGAAACACUUCGUGAAAUCAGUAACCGAGUUGUAACUGAAAUUUACUCCAAACUCCAAAUGAAACCAAACGUUGAUCAAGCAAAUAUCCUACAGCCUAGAAAUCUUAAUGCAUCCGCAACAUCAAUUCCCAACGCCAAUCGACCACUUAUAAAUUGUAGGCCCAAAGUAUCACUCAAAUUUGCCCACUCCUAGCACUUCAAGCGUGCGCAACCGCUUGAAAGGUAAAUUCGAUUUUUCCGUCGAUAAGAAUAACGAAAUAAUAGCGCAAAAUUGCCAUAGCGACAUCUUUGACGACAAUUACUA